rnacentral:rRNA from 1 species
GACGAACGCUGGCGGCGCGCCUAACACAUGCAAGUCGAACGAGAGAUGAGGAGCUUGCUCUUCAAAUCGAGUGGCGAACGGGUGAGUAACGCGUGAGGAACCUGCCUCAAAGAGGGGGACAACAGUUGGAAACGACUGCUAAUACCGCAUAAGCCCACGGCUCGGCAUCGAGCGGAGGGAAAAGGAGCAAUCCGCUUUGAGAUGGCCUCGCGUCCGAUUAGCUAGUUGGUGAGGUAACGGCCCACCAAGGCGACGAUCGGUAGCCGGACUGAGAGGUUGAACGGCCACAUUGGGACUGAGACACGGCCCAGACUCCUACGGGAGGCAGCAGUGGGGAAUAUUGCACAAUGGGGGAAACCCUGAUGCAGCGACGCCGCGUGGAGGAAGAAGGUCUUCGGAUUGUAAACUCCUGUUGUUGAGGAAGAUAAUGACGGUACUCAACAAGGAAGUGACGGCUAACUACGUGCCAGCAGCCGCGGUAAAACGUAGGUCACAAGCGUUGUCCGGAAUUACUGGGUGUAAAGGGAGCGCAGGCGGGAGAACAAGUUGGAAGUGAAAUCCAUGGGCUCAACCCAUGAACUGCUUUCAAAACUGUUUUUCUUGAGUAGUGCAGAGGUAGGCGGAAUUCCCGGUGUAGCGGUGGAAUGCGUAGAUAUCGGGAGGAACACCAGUGGCGAAGGCGGCCUACUGGGCACCAACUGACGCUGAGGCUCGAAAGUGUGGGUAGCAAACAGGAUUAGAUACCCUGGUAGUCCACACCGUAAACGAUGAUUACUAGGUGUUGGAGGAUUGACCCCUUCAGUGCCGCAGUUAACACAAUAAGUAAUCCACCUGGGGAGUACGACCGCAAGGUUGAAACUCAAAGGAAUUGACGGGGGCCCGCACAAGCAGUGGAGUAUGUGGUUUAAUUCGACGCAACGCGAAGAACCUUACCAAGUCUUGACAUCCUGCGACGCACAUAGAAAUAUGUGUUUCCUUCGGGACGCAGAGACAGGUGGUGCAUGGUUGUCGUCAGCUCGUGUCGUGAGAUGUUGGGUUAAGUCCCGCAACGAGCGCAACCCUUAUGGUCAGUUACUACGCAAGAGGACUCUGGCCAGACUGCCGUUGACAAAACGGAGGAAGGUGGGGAUGACGUCAAAUCAUCAUGCCCUUUAUGACUUGGGCUACACACGUACUACAAUGGCGUUAAACAAAGAGAAGCAAGACCGCGAGGUGGAGCAAAACUCAGAAACAACGUCCCAGUUCGGACUGCAGGCUGCAACUCGCCUGCACGAAGUCGGAAUUGCUAGUAAUCGUGGAUCAGCAUGCCACGGUGAAUACGUUCCCGGGCCU